rnacentral:lncRNA from 1 species
GAGUAUUUUGUCUCAUGUUAAACUUUUGUAUUUAGUUUAUCACGAAUCUCAAAACAUCAUUAUUUUCUUUUAUCUUCUCAACGUUGCAUAGAUUGGCUAUGGCCCAUAACAAUGUAGCUAGCUACUUUAACUACAAAGUAUUUGUAUUAAAGUUGUCACCUAAGUCUCCAUUGAGUAUUUGUAAUUGUACUUCUCUUAUAUAGAUUCUACCAC